UACAGGGGGGGCAAGCGUUGUUCGGAAUUACUGGGCGUAAAGGGCUCGUAGGCGGCCAACUAAGUCCGACGUGAAAUCCCCAAGCUUAACUUGGGAACUGCGUCGGAUACUGGAUGGCUUGAAUUCGGGAGAGGGAUGCAGAAUUCCAGGUGUAGCGGUGAAAUGCGUAGAUAUCUGGAGGAAUACCGGCGGCGAAGGCGGCAUCCUGGACCGGCAUUGACGCUGAGGCGCGAAAGCCAGGGGAGCAAACGGG
rnacentral:rRNA from 1 species